rnacentral:tRNA from 1 species
CCAUAGCUCAGCUGGAUAGAGCAGCGGUUUCCUAAACCGUGUGUCGGGGGUUCAAAUCCCUUUGGGC